CUACCUACGAUCUGCUCGUGCAUUUGUAAUAGCCGCAGUAUUCUGACUGUGCUAAGGUAGCAUAAUCAUUAGUCUUUUAAUUGGAGGCUGGUAUGAAUGACGAGACGAGAAAAUGACUGUCUCUAUAAUAAACUUUGAAUUUCAUUUCUGAGUGAAAAAGCUCAGAUAAUUUUGAAGGACGAUCAGACCCUUUGGAGCUUUAUUUACUUUAAAAAUUUGAAUUUGUUUUAAUUGAUUGAAUGGAAAGUAAAUUUUGUUGGGGCGACAGGGAGUAAAAUAUAACACUCUUUUUUUAAAACAAUCCUAAUUGGAAAAUUGAUCCUUAGAGUGAGAUUACAAGACUAAGUUACCCUAGGGAUAACAGCGUAAUCUUUUUGGAGAGUUCAAAUCGAUAAAAAGGUUUGCGACCUCGAUGUUGGAUUAAGAGAUUGGCAAGGUGCAGAAGUUUUGCUGGAAAGUCUGUUCGACUUUUAAUCUCUUACGUGAUCUGAUUUCAGACCGGA
rnacentral:rRNA from 1 species